UGCUUUCAAUAUAAUAAUUUAUUUAUUUAGAUUUCUAUAAAUAGUAUCUAGAAAAUAUUGAUUGCAUUUAUAAUUUUAAUUGCAAUUAUAUAUUUUAAGUGAAAAUCUGCAAAUAUGAUCAAAAAAUGUUCAUGAUAAAUUUGUUGCCAAAACACUUUUCUGAUAACUGUAGUUUGAGCAAUUAGGUUUUAUUUUUUUAUGUUCUUGUUUCUACUGUAAAGAUACACGGGUAUCCAUAUGUAUUUUAUAUAAAAAGUCAAUGAUAAAAAUCAAAAUUUGUAUGUGCAAAAUUUGUACAGUGUACUAUAAAAAUACGAAAAUUUAGAACUGUUCCAAUUCUACCAUUUUCAUAUAAAUUUUUAUAGCAUUUCUUAAAUUUGUGUAAAAUUUUGUAGAAUUUUUUUCGCCAAAGUUAUUACAUAAUAUAUUGUAUUGAAAACGAUCCGAAUGACAGAACCGAAACGUUUACAUUGUAACUUUAACUAAUAGUAUAUAUAUAUAUAUAUAUAUAUAUAUAUAUAUAUAUAUAUAUAUGUAUAUAUGUAUAUAUACUGUAAGAUCUCAGAGAAGAGAAAGAUUGUAAGAGUAUUGAUAUGUGAACGGAAAACAUUAGGGAAAUAGUGGAACCGUAGUCUAGCAGUGAGAGUGCUAGUUAUUGGAACGAAGGAUUCCGAGUUCAAAUCUGACUAGCUCCUUUAUUUUUCCGUCACUUACCUCUUUUCACCAUUCUAAUAGAAGAUUCUUACAUAUACUUGGAUACACACACGAACAGUAUUGCCAUUAACUUUUGUAUAGAGAAGACCGGAACUAUUUAAAACAUUUUGUUUUGCAUCUCCUUAGUCCUGUAUUCAUAUAAAAAAAAUUUGUUAGAUGGUUGAAUGAUUUAAGAGGUUGAAACCUUACGUUUUACAAUGCCGUUAAAAUAUGGAAUUGUACUUGCUUUGAACUACAUAUAAAAAUGUCGAUCAGUGCGAAAUGUUCCGGACUUGUUUCAAAUAGUCCCACGUCCAGGAUAAUUUGAAACAAGUCAGGAACUAUUCUACAAUUUGUUUUAAGUUUAAAACAUGCAUAAAAAAGGGUUUUUAAGGUUUUAUUUUAUUAAAAAGAGGAUAUAUUAUGUUAUUAAAGAAAGUGAAAUACAAUAAAAAAAAUCUAACACACAAUAGAAAAUUUUAUUACUUUAGCGUUUUUGGAACAAAUCAGGGACAUUCGUAUUUCGCUUAAUUAUAUCAGCUGUUGAGUAUUAAUUGUGUAUUUUGAUACAUAGAACGUGAAAGAAAAAAUUGGUUUUAAACAGGUAAAAAAUUAUAAAACCUUAAAAAUUGAUAUUUGUAGGAUUAGGAAAUCUCAUACUGAUCGCAUAGAGCGAUAAGAGAACGGGUGAGGUUAUAAUAAAAAAAAGAGAAAAACAGUAUAUAUCCUCACUUACAUGUUCUCAUAUCCUUUUAUGUCAUUGGUGUGAUAGAUUUUCUAGUAAUUAUUUAGAAUACGUUCCUCACCUCCAAUUUUGAUAAAAUUAGACUUAUUUGACACGAUUUUGUACGAACAAGAAAAUCACCAAGUAUUACACUCCGAUUUUGAUGAGCUUUGAAUAUGAUAUAUUUUAGGUCAAAAUAAGAGACACAUAUUUUUUUAUACGGACCCAUACGCAUUUUUUAGGGAGUAAAACACUCCUUUGAAAAAAAUUGGUUUUUUUCUUUCGAAGCAUAUAUCGUCGAAACUAUAGGAGAUAGAAAAAAAUGUUCUAAUUAAAAGUUCAAAGGCUUGAAAAAUAUUUUAUAAAGUGAUAAAAAAUGUUUCUAUCUAUUUUUUUUACUUUCCUUUACUUACCUAUUUUCCACCACUUAUCUAUUUUUUCAAAAUUUUUAUUUUUUUAUAUACGCAAAAUAAAACUUAUUUUAUUACGACUUUAACGAUAUAUGAUGAAGUUAUGUUCCGACAUUCCCAUGUUUCAAAAAUAAUUAAAAAUUCCUCUACGCGCAUGGUACGCGCACGUUUGUGUGCUACGGAAGUGCUCCCCUCCGAUUUUGACGAGCCUUUAAUAUGUUGUAGUACAGAUAAAAAUAUGGCACACGUAUUUUUAUAUAUGGUCCAUAUGACUGUUAAGAAGGUAAAACCCGCUCUUGAAAUAAAUUGAUUUUUUAAUUUCUGAGAUAAUACCGUCGAAACGGUAAAAGAUAUAAACAAAAAUUCAAAUAAAAGUUUUAUGGCUAUUUGUAUAUUUUAUAGUACAUUAUAGUAUAUUACUUAUAGAGAAACCUCUUAAAUGCGAGACACCUGUAAAUUUUUGUUUUAAAAAUUGUGAUCCUUUUUGUGACUCCUGUUAUGAUAUAGCAGUUUUUAAAUGUGAUUGGUACAAAAUGAAAGUGUAUACGGCAUUUUUUUGACACCACAAAUUCUGGGCAUUUUCAUUAUUCUAUAGAUUUCCAGCAAUAAAAAAAAUAACUUAAAAA